rnacentral:rRNA from 1 species
GACGAACGCUGGCGGCGUGCUUAACACAUGCAAGUCGAACGGAAAGGCCCUGCUUUUGUGGGGUGCUCGAGUGGCGAACGGGUGAGUAACACGUGAGUAACCUGCCCUUGACUUUGGGAUAACUUCAGGAAACUGGGGCUAAUACCGGAUAGGAGCUCCUGCUGCAUGGGGGGGGUUGGAAAGUUUCGGCGGGUGGGGAUGGACUCGCGGCUUAUCAGCUUGUUGGUGGAGUAGUGGCUUACCAAGGCUUUGGCGGGUAGCCGGCCUGGGAGGGGGACCGGCCUCAUUGGGACUGAGGUACGGCCCAGACUCCAACGGUAGGCAGUGGUGGGAAACAUGGCACAAUGGGCGGAAGCCUGAUGCAGCGGCGUCGCGUGCGUGAUGACGGCCUUCGGGUUGUAAACCGCUUUCGCCUGUGACGAAGCGUGAGUGACGGUAAUGGGUAAAGAAGCACCGGCUAACUACGUG